ensembl:lncRNA
CUUUAAUACAGCACCCCAUCCAUUAUUUAUGUAUUCGUGGGAGUGUGGUUUUGUAACCGGUUCAGAUAAGUUAAAACAAAAAAGCCACCGCGGGAAAGGGGGGUGAAGGCGGAGGUGACCCAAGUCUGCGACCAAGGUCUCCAGCAACACCUGCAUGUAGACCUUGGCGAAUAUAUUUGUAAAGCAAAGAGGGAAAGGUCUCGGAAGAGGACCCUAAGGCACCCUAGAGUCUUUAUGCUACUGAGAAAAUACUCUUAGGUGGCACGACAGCAAACCCGAGGUGAACUUCACCUGAGUAGAGAGCAGCUCUGCUGGGGUGGCAUGGAUGAGCAGUAAGUUGAAUGUGGGUGUCUGUGCUUGUGCAAGCGGAGGAGGCCCCAGGAUGAAGAAGAUGACCACCCAUCUACUUAUGGGAUCGUUCAUCAUUCUUUGUGAGCUAUUGCGGAAGCGUCAGGAAACAGAAGUCAGUCAGGUGCGAAAAUUGACUUUCCCUGCAUGACCACACAAUGCAGAUAGUUUCACGGUUGAGAACCACUGUCUUGCCGGAAGCAUGAAACAUACAGACGUUGGCCCCGGGCAGGCUUUUCUUACAUUACAGAUCCAGCCAACAGAGCUGCCGUCCUGCCACCUUGAAGAAGCAAACUGACACACCUCAGAGAGAGUUGGUGGCAGGAAUGGGGCAUGGGUUCUAGAAACUGCGGACUUCCAUCCUACAAUCCCAAGCAAUAAAACGUAUGGAUAAUUCCGGAGCUUGCUGUGGCCCCCUGAGCGUGGUGACCCUCCAGGGGACCAGAACACAGUCUCUGGAUGUUGACAUGUAGGCAUAGAUGCAAUAAGCUAGUAUCCUCUUUAGCCACUGAGUUGUAGCUGACUCCUGGGUGGGAAAAUAGACAUUCCUCUGAACAGGGAGGGUGGCAAGGUCACAUGGUCAGGGGGAUGUAGUGGUUUGUGUGAGGAACGGACCCUAUAGACUCAUACAUGUGAAUACUUAGCUCUCAGUUGGAGCAUUAGGAGGUGUAGCCUUGUUGGAGAUGUGUGUCCCUGGGGCUAGGCCUUGAGGUUUCAAAAACUGGUCCCAGGCCCAGUCCCACUCUACCUCUUCCUUGUGGACAAGAUGUGAUUUCUCAGCUACUGUGCCAUGCCUGUGUGCCUGCUGCCACGAUGACCAUGGACUCACCCUCUGAAACUCUGGGAUGCUGUGGAACUUUUACAUCACCACCAUGGUUUCGUGAAGACUUUCCUCCAUGGAUUCUGGCUCAUGGAAACCAGAGGCCCCUGAGGGGGACAGAAGAGCUCCUAUCAUUGGAAGAGCCGACCUCAGGGCCACUACAGAGAAAAUCCAGCAACACUUCUGGUUCCAGCGGGGGCUCCCUGCCUCCCCCCGCCACCCCACCUUUCCAGGGAAUGAGGGCCAGAUUUGCCUUCCCUGCAUUUGAUGUUUCUGCUGAAACCACCAUCAGAUGUACAAAGUGCCUUAUCCACCAUCAUGGUAUUCCACACGGCAUUGCUUCUGACCAAGGAACUCCUUUCACAGCCAGAAGUGCGACAUGGGACCCAUAACCAUGAAAACCAUUGACCUUCCUAAUGUCCACCAUCCUGAAGCAGAUGGCCUGACAGAAAGAUGGAAUGGCUUUUGAAGACACAGUCACAUCAUCAUUAAAUGGCAGCAGUAUGGAGGGCUGGGACAGGGUUCUCCCAAAGGCAGCAUAUGCUUUGAAACCAAUAUAUAGUACUGUUUCUCCUAUAGUCAUUGUCCAGAAGCAUGGAAAUGGGAACAGUUCCACUCAUUGUCACCCAAGUGACCUACUAGGAAAUGUUUUGCUUCCUGUUCCCUUCUCUUGACCUUGAGUUCUGCUGCCCUAGAAGUUUUGGUUCCAGAGUGCGAGCAUUCCUGCUGAGACCCAAGCAAGCAUCCAUUGAACGGGAAGCUCAGACUUUGCCCUGGCCACUUUGGGCUUCUGACACCCUUAAGCCAACGGGCUAAGAAAGGAAUGAUAAUGUUAGAAAGGGUGAUUAAUCCAUGCUACCAAGGGGAAACUGGAUUGCUCCUCCACGGUGGAGGUGAGAAAGAUUAUAUCCAGAGUACAAAAGAUCCUAUAGGGCAUCUCUUGGUGCUACAAUGUCCUGUGGCUAAAGUCCAUGGGAAACCUCAACAGCCUAGUCCAGGCAGGAUGACAAAGGACGCAGAGCCAUCAGGAACGAAGGGAUGGCUCACUCCUCCAGGAACAGAGCCAAGACUGACUGAGGGGCUUGCAGAGGGUGGAAGAAAUACAGAAUGGAUAGUAGAGGAAGGGAGUUACAGAUACCAUCUAAGGCCGCGUGACCACUUGCAGAAACGAGGAUUAUAAUUGACACGAGUGUGUGUUGUGUUUUGUUACGAGUUUGUUUGUUCAGGUGUUUGUGUUUCCUUUACCUAAUUUCUUUUUUUUUUUGUAAUAAAUAUUUUGUCAUCCUUUAAUCCCCAAAUUGGACAGUGAAAUUAAUUGAUACUGAUUGAAUAGACUGUAAGAUAUGUGCCACAUCACAGUAAGUAAGCAAUCUGAGAAGUUAUCGGUUUCCCAGUGCUUCCUGGGAAGACUGAGGCAUUCUGGGUAAUGUCUGCAUGGUCUUCUGCUAUGAGUGGAAAGGCUAAUUUAUUUCUUUCUUUCUUUCUUUUUUUCUUUUCUUUUUCGGAGCUGGGGACCAAACCCAGGGCCCUGCACUUGCUAGGCAAGUGCUCUACUACUGAGCUAAAUCCCCAACUCCGAAAGACUCAUUUCUUUAUCGUACAGUGUAACACCAAUAAAGAAUAUCAAUGGUUAUCAUACUUAAGUCGAGAUACUAAAAGAAUGUCCCAUAGGGGACAUGGCCACCUAUUCUAAAUGUAUCAUGCAUUUGUGGUUGUAUGAGGGAUAGUUAUAUGAGGUUUAUGUGUAAUUACAGUAAUGUUAUUUGGUUUAAUGUGUAAUGUGUUUGUGAUUGUGAUAUGUGAAAUUGUUAUAUCAAUUAUGACCUGGUUAUUGUUUUCAUUUGUAAAUUAAUCAUGACACAAGGAGAUAGUAUUGUGUUAGGUUGACAAGAAGUAGACUCAUGAUGACUAUUCUAGGUUUUCAACUCGAUUACAUCUAAGAUUAACUAAAACCCCAAAUGGAGGGGAACACCGGUGAGGGAGUUUUGCUUCAUUGGAGAGUGGGAAGAUCCACUUCUCAUUGGAAUCUUUUGUUUUGUUUUGUUUUGUUUGAAGACUGGGUUUCUCUGUGUAGCACUGGCUGUCCCAGAACUGACUCUGUGCACCAGGCUGCCCUCCAAGUCACACAUUCCCCUGUCUCUGCCUUUCAAGUACUGGGAUUAAAGGCGUGUGCCACCAAUGCCAGCCUUCUAAUCUGAAUCUUUGAGGUGGGAAGACAUACCUCUAAUUCCACACUUCUGCUGGAUGCUUAAAUAAGGACAUGGAAAAAGAAACCUCUGUCUUUGCCUGCUUGCUGUAACCUUGCUAGCAAGGCCACUCCUUCACUGGCAUUAGAACCUACUUCUUUGGGAUUCAUGUGUAUACUGAAUUGGCCAGCUGAGACGUCCAACCUCAUGGACUGAACAAUUACAAGAUUCUUGGACCUUCCAUUCCUAGGCAGCCAUUGUUGGAUUAGCCUGAAAGUCAUACUAAACAAAUCAUAUAUAUAAAUAAAUUUUAUAUAUUACAAAAUACA